rnacentral:rRNA from 1 species
GAUGAACGCUAGCGGCAGGCCUAAUACAUGCAAGCCAAGGGCCUUUAUAGUAGCAAUACUAUAAAGACCGGCGAACGGGUGCGUAACGCGUAUGCAACCUACCCCAUACAGGAGGAUAGCCCUCGGAAACGAGGAUUAAUACUCCAUAAUAUUGAAGAAAGGCAUCUUUCUUCAAUUAAAGCCGCAAGGCGGUAUGGGAUGGGCGUGCGUCCGAUUAGUUAGUUGGUGAGGUAACGGCUCACCAAGACUAUGAUCGGUAGGGGUUCUGAGAGGAAGA